rnacentral:rRNA from 1 species
UACGUAGGGGGCUAGCGUUGUCCGGAUUUAUUGGGCGUAAAGAGCGUGUAGGCGGCCAGGUAGGUCUGCUGUGAAAACUCGAGGCUCAACCUCGAGACGUCGGCGGAAACCAUCUGGCUAGAGUCCGGAAGGAGGAGAGUGGUAACUUCCGUGGUGUGAGCGGUGAAAUGCGCAGAUAUCAGGAAGAACACCCGUGGCGAAGGCGGCUCUCUGGGACGGUACUGACGCUGAGACGCGAAAGCGUGGGGAGCGAACAGG